UACGUAGGGGGCAAGCGUUGUCCGGAUUUAUUGGGCGUAAAGAGCGCGCAGGCGGUCGAUCAAGUCGAGUGUGAAAGCCCCCGGCUCAACUGGGGAGGGUCAUUCGAUACUGAUCGACUGGAAGGCAGGAGAGGGAAGCGGAAUUCCCGGUGUAGUGGUGAAAUGCGUAGAUAUCGGGAGGAACACCAGUGGCGAAGGCGGCUUCCUGGCCUGUUCUUGACGCUGAGGCGCGAAAGCUAGGGGAGCAAACGGG
rnacentral:rRNA from 1 species